rnacentral:rRNA from 1 species
GACGAACGCUGGCGGCGUGCUUAACACAUGCAAGUCGAGCGGUAAGGCCCUUUCGGGGGUACACGAGCGGCGAACGGGUGAGUAACACGUGGGUGACCUGCCCUCAGCUCUGGGAUAAGCCUGGGAAACCGGGUCUAAUACUGGAUAUGACUCCAUGACGCAUGUUGUGGGGUGGAAAGCCUUGUGCGGCUGAGGAUGGGCCCGCGGCCUAUCAGCUUGUUGGUGGGGUGANGGCCUACCAAGGCGACGACGGGGUAG